CCCGGGGGGCUCGGGGGCCGCCGCGCCCCCCACCAGCCUCGUGCGGGGCGCCCCCGGACGCCCCCGGUUCCUGCCGGGCCUGUCGGAGCUCGCCGGGAGACUCAGCGCCGCCGGGUUCCUGUUUCCCACGGUGCCCCCCAGGAUGGGCACUGAGGGGGCCAACGCGUCCCUGGAGCCGGACGAGGCCGGGAGCGGCGCGGAGCCAGCCCUCUCCCCCGGCCGCCAGCCCUCCCGGGGGGCCGCGCCGCCCCCCGCCGCCGCCUCCGCCUGCACCCCCGGAUCCGCCUGCGGCUCGGGGGGCGCCGAGCCCGGCGGGGCCUCCCCCGCGCCCCC